GUUGAAGGAAGGAAGAAAGAAAGGAAAGAAGAAAGAGAGAAAGGAGGGAAGGAAUUUAUGUUUCCAGAGCUCAGUUAUCUCGCAUGGAUCCAGCUCUUUCGCCCCACGUCUCCGCUGUCUUCCUCCCGUCUCCUCUACUUCUCUUCAUGCUGACAAAUGCAGUAACGAUCUUCCCUUGGGAAUUUGCCAAAUGUAGUCCAGGAAUUGCAUAUUUUUGGUAAACUUGGUUGUAAUAACAUCUGUGAGCUAAUUAAAUGAAGCUGAAACUAUUUUAUAAACAAACGAUUUUAAAAGGCCUAUUCUCAAACAGGAAUAAUGAUGAUGAAUUUUCCCCUUAAUAACAUCUAAUAGUGCAAACAGUUUUUAAACCUAGUAUACCUGCAAUUCUAGGCGCAAGGGACUUUUGAACUAAGUCAUUUAGAAAAUAGGAAUAUUAAACACAUUGUACAUUAUAGAUGUAUAUGAUAUUAUAUAUAUUCACAGCAGAAAGAAAAUUUGUAGCAGAAGCUUCUCUAUCGUGUUUCCUUCUCCUUUGUGGGUACGUGAAAAACUACACGUUCAGCCCCUUUGCAGGCAGGCGGUACAGUGUGACUAGUCCUGGCUAACGUGAGUGGAAGGCAUGUCUGUGUCCCUUCUGGGCUGUGACGGUGAAAAGUCUCUGCAAACCUUCUUGAUGGCUCUUGUUACUUACCCGACGAGCAAGAACUAAACGUUUGUUGUUUUAAUCCACUGAGAAGCAGGGGCUGCUAUGUUGCCAAGGGACAUUUGAGCCCAGCCUGAGGGUACGACAGCUGAUGAGGGUUACUGAAGAGGCACUUCAGACAUAACUAACAACACAUCUACUUCCUAGGUGAGUUGUAGACCUUUUCACUGAUCCACAUCACUAGCCCUGGGGUGAAAGGACUAAGCUCGUAUUUCAAUCUCAAAACGGCAAGAAAAGGCAGAACGUUCAGAAAGGGCAAGUAUGGUUAGUGCUCAGGGUGUUGACAAAGCAAAAUUACACAAUCAGGACCAGUUUGUUGAAAUCCUAGACCCAACUGAAUCCACACCCCGUUCUGUGACCUGUGGCCACAGAGAUUUAAUCUUCUCAAUGGUUCCUUUUCCUGUAUUCAGAUGACAUCAAUCACGGCUGGAAAGCCAUUUCACCAAAGAAAGAGAGCUAUAGAAUUUAAUACAAGUUAACUUCAGUCUCCAUGCUGGUGCAUAUGGCAUUAGAAAACAUUGCUUCCUCAAAUUAUCUGCUCCCGUACUAGAAAUGCUGCUACCUGCCUUAUUAAAGGUACACUCUACUGAAAGGUCCAAGACACCAGAUAAUCCUGUGGCAGCAGUGGCAAUAGCAAUCUGCUAGACCCAAAACUCCAAAACUCAAAAGGAGAGGAACUUUUCUCUCUGUUCAGUGGAGUUGCAGCUCUAAGAGCACAGGGAGACAGGCAUGACUAUCUGCUGGUGCAGAUGAAUGAACUGAGCUAUCAAGAAGCUAAGAAACUCGGCUGGAGACAAAUGGCAGGUGAAAUAAGGACUUUUGGCCAGAUCCAUCUGAUUUCCAAGUUCGUGCUCUUCAUCCCAAGUGUAGCAGAAUUGGGGCGCACGGAAUUCCGGCCUGAGUUUCUUUCUCUUCCUGGAUUCAUGGAUUCACACUUAUCACAGGAUGUCAGAACUGGAAAGACCUCAGAGAACAAAUGAGAUAACGCAGCCUUGUUCAAUGAGCUGUCAUCGCCACUUGGCUUGUUAGCAGAAGCAGAGCUUCAUUUUCGCCUUCAGCGUCACAGCGCCGCUGACUUCUACUCUAAAUAAAAACCUUCUCUCAAAAAUGUAAGGUACUUUACAGACAUGAUUCAGACAUUGGUUUUAUUUUAAGGCAAAACAAUCCAAGACACAGAGAGCUAAAACGAUUUCCUCUGGUCUGCUGGACAGGGCCUGCCUAUGAGAAAACAGACCUACACUGCGCUUCCAUUCGCUGCCUCGAGGAGUAACGUGCCAUCCUCGUCUCCCUCCCCCCAGGCCUCCGUGGACUCCUUGUCUUCUUGCUCAUUCUUACCCUGUCUUCUAAACCCUGAACACUCCUAGAAGCUGGUGAUGGAAUCUCAAAAAGAUGAUUGUUUUUGAGGUGAGAGAGGAAGAGAAAAAAGAAGACCAAAGUGAAGAGGCAAAUUUCUGGGAAAUUUAAAGCUACAGGUGAAAGCUGUGGGGUUUGUAAAAAGGGCAUUUGGGGGGAAAUUUUAAAAAUACAUUCCUUAUCAAUUUUCUAAUGUCAUUUACAUACCAAAAGUCAUUGUUAUUUCAAAACAUAAAAUAUGUAAGAAACAAAGACGUAGUAAAAGAAAAUUGGAAUUUCCCAAAAUGAUUGUAGAGAAAGAUUUUUCCCUCUCUCUUGAGUUGUCUGUUUUCUAUGUCUCCACAUGGGCUUUGUAUCUUUAGCCCCAAACUCAAGGCUCACAUUGACAGUUCCUGGCCUUCCCAAAGACAGGCAGCAGAACGUGGGGUCCAAGAAAUGGUCAGGGCAGCCUCUGGCCCCAGACCAUGGCACACUCUCUGACUCACACUGAUGUUACAGCCCUAAGCUGGCAUUGCCUGGCGCUGGACUCCACAUUCUCCAAACCCAGGCCUUUACUGCUUCUAGAAAGAAAUGAUUGUUCACACAGGGCUGGGUCACUAGACCUGAUAUUCCUGAGAGUCCUUCUCCCAUCACCUCCACCAGAGAAAGUAGGAGUGCAGCGUAGACCUCUAGGUCCCAGGAAAUGGCAGACUGCCUUCCAAGGACACUUCACCCUCCUGGAAGACAGUGAGAGAAGGCUGAAAGAACUGGCCUCAGAGUGGACGACUUGAGCUCUGUCCUGAGCUGCUGCAUCCUACUGUUGGGUCCCAGCAAGGUGUUGACCAUCCUCAAGCAUGUGUGUCCUCAUCUGUGAAGUGGGACAAUAUGAAUGCAUAUGCCCACAGAGUUUCGAGGUUUCACUAGGA